rnacentral:tRNA from 6 species
GGAGAGGUGGCUGAGCGGUCGAAAGCAACGCACUGCUAAUGCGUUAAGGGGGCAACUCCUUCCAGGGUUCGAAUCCCUGCCUCUCCGCCA